rnacentral:rRNA from 1 species
GACGAACGCUGGCGGCGUGCCUAAUACAUGCAAGUCGAACGCAUUUUCUUUCACCGUAGCUUGCUACACCGAAAGAAAAUGAGUGGCGAACGGGUGAGUAACACGUGGGUAACCUGCCCAUCAGCGGGGGAUAACACUUGGAAACAGGUGCUAAUACCGCAUAAUUCCAUUUACUGCAUGGUAGAUGGAUGAAAGGCGCUUUUGCGUCACUGAUGGAUGGACCCGCGGUGCAUUAGCUAGUUGGUGGGGUAACGGCCUACCAAGGCUGCGAUGCAUAGCCGACCUGAGAGGGUGAUCGGCCACACUGGGACUGAGACACGGCCCAGACUCCUACGGGAGGCAGCAGUAGGGAAUCUUCGGCAAUGGACGCAAGUCUGACCGAGCAACGCCGCGUGAGUGAAGAAGGUUUUCGGAUCGUAAAACUCUGCUGUUAGAAAAGAACAAGGAUGAGAGUGGAAAGUUCAUCCCUUGACGGUAUCUAACCAGAAAGCCACGGCUAACUACGUG